rnacentral:rRNA from 1 species
AUGAUGCCAGGCAACAAAAAGAACAAAGUUAAGAGCAUCGACAAUGUGAUUAAAAGGUUAGGCAAGGUGACAGGGGCCAUAAAGAAGGGCACCGGUGCAGCAGCUUCCACACAGGUGGGCAGGGCCAAACCUGCUCAGCGAGCCACGGUGGAUAGUACCCAGGGUAGACGAUGUGGUCGUACCACUGUAUCCCGUGUUGCUAGCCCUAUCCCCUCCGCCGAUUCUGAGGACGAGUCAGAGGAGGAUGCAGAGGAGGAGCCAGUUGUGGAGGUGGAGCAGACGAGGUCUCGUCGUGAUUGGCAGCAUGUGGAAGGGUCAUCACGUGGUGCGACUCAGGAGGAGGAGGAGGAGGAGGAGGAGGAGGGGGAGGAGUUGGAGGAGGGAGAGUAUGAGGUGGAGGUAUCGGCAAAGGACAUGGAAUGGCCGGUUCCUAAGGAGACCAAAAUAUGGUUGCGUGGGGUGUCCACGCUCCCUUCGCGACCAUAUCCACAUAAGGGGCUCAUUGUCAAACCAGUCAGUGUGAGGGCCUUGCUGGUUGUAGGAGAAGACAUAAAGGUGCCACGCCAGCCAAGUAGCAUCAUUGGAUGUCUUUGCAGGCACUAUUACCCUGGCCUGGUCCCCAUAGGAGAUGGUGAGGAGGAGCCAGCUUGGUCUUGGGAGCAUUGGAAACGCGCUCCAGAUACUAAAGACAAGUGGGACAGGGAGUACAACAAUGCUGCUGACCGGGACUUCUUUACUUGUGCCAAGGGUAUGAAGGAUGAAGCUAAUGAGGUCGUGGAGGCGAUUGCCAAGAAGAUUGUCCAAGACAUGCACUAUGAGGGGCGCGUCGAUGCCGUGGUGAAGUAUUUCGCGCAUGAACGCAACAUGCUUCUCAAAAAGCAACUAGCCCGGAGAGUCCAUCUCACCCGUUCGAUGUACAUGAAGGCAGUUCCCCCGUGGUGCAACAACAAGAUUCCUUGCUAUCAGCAAAUCAUAUCCAGGUGGAUAAACCCGGAGUGGAGGGUCACACAUAGAGCGUGUUCGGAGCGGCGUGCCUUGAUGGGUGGUCCGGUACACCUUCAAGGCAACCUCAACCUCCACGCUUACGUGCAGAAGAAGAAUAGGGAGAGAGGCGAGGGAGAACAACCUCUCAAUAGCUUCAUGGGAUUAUGUCUUUCCCGCACGUCAAAGAAACCUGAAGGGGGGUGGGUCAACCCUGGCGCUGGUUCGAGGAUUAAAGCAUAUAGUGGGAAGUUCAAGGAGUGCAACGGGCCCGACUCUGAUCCGGCCUCACAGGACAUUGACGUCAUGGUUUCCCUCAUGUCGGGAGAAGGCAGGAAGGGUGGCCGGUUAUAUGUUGGUGAUGGUGCCAUCCGUAAGAAGGACAUUCCAAAACUCGCCCACCUCCGUGCUACGACCUCGAGCUCAGGUCCUGCUAUAGAGUGUCGCCCACAUCCUGGGUUGGGCAUGCUACAUCAAUUCGAGGCACGCCUAGAGGAACAAAACAAGUUGCGCAGGAAGAAACCAAGUUGCGGCAGGAGGCUUAGGCCAAUGCCCAACUUCGACAGGACCAAGCCAUGAAAAUGCAACAAGCCCUCUUGCAACAACAGGAAUUCAUGGUCAAACAACAGUUAGCCCUGCAGGAGACAUUCACUCGGUUGAGAGCUAAUAUGCAGGGUUCUACUUGGCCAGAUCUUCCUCCUCUUCCGCCUCUUCCUACUUUUAGCUUUUGUUCUCAGUCGGGACAACACUCAAAUAACUUCGUGGUACCUGGAUCCAUACCUACCCAAGCAAGCCCAGUGACUCCCACUACGGCUCAUGGCGCUUCGACCUCCUUGCAACAAUAAUCACUCGAGGUUUGCAUCGUGGAUGCCAUUGACGGUGGGCAUACAUGCUACGGUGGAGCUCAUUGCAUCUUUCAGGUUCAUGCUUAGUGUGAACUUGGAACUCAUGCUUUUGUUUGUGAACCUUGUUGGAUAUGCACGCAUGUUGUUGUGAACCUUGUUGGAUGUGCACGCAUGUUGUUGUGAACCUUGUUGGAUAUGUACCUGUGUGGACUUUGACCUCAUGGUCAAUUUGUUAUGGUUGUCAAGUUGUAAUAUAUUGUUGGACAAUUUAGCUUGCUGGAUAUGUACCUUGUUGCAUCUAUAUAUUGACAAUUUAGCUUGC